UUUUGUUCGUCUGUUCCUGCCGCUUUCUAUGCGCCUGCAUGUUUUUUCGUACGCUGUGCCGUUAAAAAGUUUCUUUCUGUGCCUGCGAACAUCCCGGCAAUGUCGGAAAAACUGAGGAAAGGACACAAGGCGUGUAGCGCGGCUGUGCGGUGUGGCGAUUCGGGGAGCAAAACAAGGACGAAAUUUUUCUGUUUCCCAGCAAACGAGAGGGAGGGUCCUCGCCGACCCCUCCAAAGCAAGUCUGUUGCGGUCUGCUGUGCCAGCUGUUGGAGUGGAAGGGCGGUCCCUGAUCGAUUAAGUAUGAAAAACCCAAAGACGAUUCAGGUGGAAUUGCAGAAGGCCUCACCUCACUUCCGACAGAUCACAGAGGUCCGCCAGUUCGGCAGAGGGGGUAUACUAUGCUGCUCGCCAGACCAGACCUGUGUCAAGGAACUACUGAAUUCUUCUACAUUCGCUUCGUAUCCGCCGCCACUUGAAUGCACCAGAGCAAGAAAGCAGCAAUCAAUGCAAUUUGCGCCGUCACUACUUGGCUGAUUACAUUGCCUGCCGCUGUUUCUGAACUUUGGUCUGGGCAAAUUUUCACUGGCAUCCAUGGCAAGAAAAAUCAAUGCGCCAAGUUUACGUGCAGGAGUCUAUGCCAAGUCGCGGCACACUAAUGACUGCGGCGUCCUGAUGAAUAACCUCCGCCGUCCUCCCCUUUCCUGUAGCGCACAAAUUUGCGCAGUUCGCCCGGAACUUGCCGUCGCCAUGUUUUUGUUUAGACGUUGAGCGGUGCGAAUUUGAGCGCUGCUUACUAUUGGGAACAAGGGGCAACGUAAUGUGCUGCAAAGGGCUGAGAGAGUCCUUUCGACAACUGACUGUGUAUCCCUUGUCGCAUAGCAUAUACUCGUGGUGGCACAGGAAGCAUUGCGUAAUCAGCGGUGACAAGCCACAAAGUAUCGCUAGUACCACAACUACAAUGGGACGUCUUGGUAACAAUACUGGCUCACUCAUGCAAGGCGGAAAUGGCUGUUACAGUCACACAUAAAACCUGACUAGCCCUCAUUUACCUUACAUAAACCUGGCUAAGUGAUGGUUGUUACUGGGACCAUCGUGACCAAAGCGAAUGUAGAGGAAAGGGUAGAUGGGAAUUAACCGAACUCCCUAAAUGUUUCUUAAUAAAUUUCAUUUCCUCUCACUGAAACAACGCAAAUGUACUCUGCCCAAAUGGUUGGCCAAAUCUCAAAAUCGCCUAAUUUUGUGAGAUGUGGGUUUACGUG